CCCAGUUACUCGGGAGGCUGAGGCAGGAGAAUCGCUUGAACCCGGGAGGCAGAGGGUGCAGUGAGCAGAGAUUGCACCACUGCACUCCAGCCUGGGCAAGAGCGAGACUCCCUUUCAAAACACCACGACCACCACCAACACCACCACCACCUCCACCACCACCUCCCAAUGGCUUUCCAUUGCAGGCUGUCUACCUGGUCUCCAGAAUGGACGGCCCUGUGGCAGAGCAUGCCAAGCAGGAGCCCUUUCACGUGGUCACACCUCUGUUGGAGAGCUGGGCGCUGUCCCAGGUGG
rnacentral:lncRNA from 10 species